rnacentral:rRNA from 1 species
GAUUAACGCUGGCGGCGUGCAUAACACAUGCAAGUCGAACGAUGAAACUCAUUAGAUUUCUUCGGAAUGAAAAUGAAUGGAUUAGUGGCGAACGGGUGAGUAACGCGUGAGUAACCUGCCUUACACAAGGGGAUAGCCUCUGGAAACGGAGAAUAAUACCCUAUGAAACCAGACAAUCGCAUGAUAAUCUGGUCAAAAUGUUUAGUGGUGUAAGAUGGACUUGCGUCUGAUUAGCUAGUUGGUGAGAUAAAAGCUCACCAAGGCAACGAUCAGUAGCCGGCUUGAGAGAGUGUACGGCCACAUUGGGACUGAGACACGGCCCAGACUCCUACGGGAGGCAGCAGUGGGGAAUUUUGCACAAUGGGGGAAACCCUGAUGCAGCGACGCUGCGUGAUUUAGAAGGCCUUCGGGUUGUAAAAAUCUUUUGUAUAGGAAGAAAAUGACAGUACUAUACGAAUAAGGUCCGGCUAAUUACGUG